rnacentral:rRNA from 1 species
AGUGAACGCUGGCGGUAGGCCUAACACAUGCAAGUCGAACGGCCGCACAGUAAGCGCUUGCUCUUACGGGUGGCGAGUGGCGGACGGGUGAGGAAUACAUCGCCAUCUACUUUUUCGUGGGGGAUAACGUAGGGAAACUUACGCUAAUACCGCAUACGACCUACGGGUGAAAGCAGUGGAUCUUCGGACCUUGCGCGAUUGAAUGAGCCGAUGUCGGAUUAGCUAGUUGGCUGGGUAAAGGCCCACCAAGGCGACGAUCCGUAGCUGAUCUGAGAGGAUGAUCAGCCACACUGGAACUGAGACACGGUCCAGACUCCUACGGGAGGCAGCAGUGGGGAAUAUUCGGCAAUGGGCGCAAGCCUGACCCAGCCAUGCCGCGUGGGUGAAGAAGGCCUUCGGGUUGUAAAGCCCUUUUGUUGGGAAAGAAAAACAGCAGGUUAAUACCCCGAUGUUCUGACGGUACCUAAAGAAAAAGCACCGGCUAACUUCGUG